rnacentral:rRNA from 1 species
CCUACGGGAGGCAGCAGUGAGGAAUAUUGGUCAAUGGGCGUAAGCCUGGACCAGCCAAGUCGCGUGAGUGAUGAAGGUUCUAUGGAUCGUAAACCUCUUUUAUAAGGGAAUAAAGUGCGGGACGUGUUCCGUUUUGUAUGUACCUUAUGACUAUGGAUCGGCUAACUCCGUGCCAGCAGCGGCGGUAAUACGGAGGAUUCAAGCGUUAUCCGGAUUUCUUGGGUUUAAAGGGGGCGUAGACGGCCUUUUAAGUCAGCGGUGAAAGUCUGUGGCCCAACCAUAGAAUUGCCGUUGAAACUGGAUGGCUUGAGUAUGUUUGAGGCAGGCGGAAUGCGUGGUGUAGCGGUGAAAUGCUUAGAUAUCACGCAGAACCCCGAUUGCGAAGGCAGCCUGCCAAGCCAUGACUGACGCUGAUGCACGAAAGCGUGGGGAUCAAACAGGAUUAGAUACCCUGGUAGUC